GAGCUGCUUGGGAAACCGGUCCUUUGUCUCUAGCCUAGCCUUCAGACAAAUAUGGCUGUAACGUCAGAAUAGUCUGAGCCAGAAGAACCAAUCAAAUUCUUCAGAACCCAUCGUCCCAUAGAGCAACCAUGUGGAGGCAUUAAACUCUAAUUGUCUUCAAUCGUUUUCUUAAAAAUAGGAUCCUGCUAUGUGUGAUCGGCUGUGAUUGUGAUAUCUUUGACUGUCAACUCCACCGUCUGUUACUGGUCCUGAGAAGAACCCUCUGCUGUUGGGUUUGGAGAUGGGCGCUUACAUCAGGGUCUCUGCGUCUGUCUUCUUGAGGAGGGGCUGGCCUGUGUUUGACCUUUCUGCACUGUCCUCAGGUUCUUCUGUCACAAUCUUGUCUCCCUAGAGAAAGAAAUUCUUCAGACAACCCUGAGCCAUCUCUCACUCUUGCUCAACAAGCCUUUCUUUGUCACAGAAGGGCUGUAUCAAUUAUCAAAUGGAGCAUGAGAAACUACCUUCCAGUUACAGAAACCUAACCCAGUUCAAAGGCUGCAUAAUGAAGAUUUUUUCCUUUGUUAAUAAAGGAAAACAGAGUUGAUGGAUUUUUUUUCAUAGCUUUAAAAUGUGAUAAAUUCUCUAAGAGAUAAAUACGGUGUCUGGUGAUUCUAAUGUCACAUCUAAGCAAUUCUUUAACAAUAAAAAUCAAAGUAAUGCUUCA